rnacentral:rRNA from 1 species
UACUCCUACGGGAGGCAGCAGUCGGGAAUAUUGCGCAAUGGAGGAAACUCUGACGCAGUGACGCCGCGUGAGUGAUGAAGUAUUUCGGUAUGUAAAGCUCUAUCAGCAGGGAAGAAAGGCCCGCAAGGGAGAUGACGGUACCUGACUAAGAAGUCCCGGCUAACUACGUGCCAGCAGCCGCGGUAAU